GACGAACGCUGGCGGCGUGCUUAACACAUGCAAGUCGAGCGAUGAAGCACCUUCGGGUGUGAAUUAGCGGCGAACGGGUGAGGAACACGUGAGAAAUCUGCCUUCAACUCUGGGAUAACUCCGGGAAACCGGGGCUAAUACCGGAUAUGAAGCCUUCAGGCAUCUGAGGGUUUGGAAAGUUUUUCGGUUGAAGAUGAUCUCGCGGCCUAUCAGCUUGUUGGUGAGGUAAUGGCUCACCAAGGCGACGACGGGUAGCCGGCCUGAGAGGGCGACCGGCCACACUGGGACUGAGACACGGCCCAGACUCCUACGGGAGGCAGCAGUGGGGAAUAUUGGGCAAUGGAGGAAACUCUGACCCAGCGACGCCGCGUGCGGGAUGAAGGCCUUCGGGUUGUAAACCGCUUUCAGCAGGGAAGAAGCGAAAGUGACGGUACCUGCAGAAGAAGCACCGGCUAACUAUGUGCCAGCCGCCGCCGGUAAGAC
rnacentral:rRNA from 1 species